rnacentral:rRNA from 1 species
UACGUAGGGGGCUAGCGUUGUCCAGAAUCAUUGGGCGUAAAGCGCGUGUAGGCGGCCCGGUAAGUCCGCUGUGAAAGUCGGGGGCUCAACCCUCGGAUGCCGGUGGAUACUGUCGGGCUAGAGUGCGGAAGAGGCGAGUGGAAUUCCUGGUGUAGCGGUGGAAUGCGCAGAUAUCAGGAGGAACACCAAUAGCGAAGGCAGCUCGCUGGGACGGUACUGACGCUAAGGUGCGAAAGCGUGGGGAGCAAACAGG